UACGUAGGGUGCGAGCGUUGUCCGGAAUUAUUGGGCGUAAAGAGCUCGUAGGCGGUGUGUCGCGUCGGCCGUGAAAACCUGCAGCUUAACUGUGGGCUUGCGGUCGAUACGGGCAUCACUGGAGUUCGGCAGGGGAGACUGGAAUUCCUGGUGUAGCGGUGAAAUGCGCAGAUAUCAGGAGGAACACCAAUUGCGAAGGCAGCUCGUUACACGAAUAUUGACACUCAGGCACGAAAGCGUGGGGAUCAAACAGG
rnacentral:rRNA from 1 species